rnacentral:tRNA from 1 species
GCGGGUGUAGCUCAAUGGUAGAGCAGCAGCUUCCCAAGCUGAAUACGAGGGUUCGAUUCCCUUCACCCGCUCC